GGUUGAAUAGUGUAGUUGGUUAUCACAUCGGAUUUUGAAGCGAGUUCCUUGGCUGGAGCUCCUCGAAACUUUCCGAUAACUUGGGUUCGAAUCCCAGUUCGACCU